rnacentral:rRNA from 1 species
GGGCGUAAGAGCUCGUAGGUCGUUUGUCGCGUCGAUUGUGAAAAUCCGAGGCUCAACCUCAGACCUGCAGUCGAUACGGGCAAACUAGAGUGUGGUAGGGGAGACUGGAAUUCCUGGUGUAGCGGUGGAAUGCGCAGAUAUCAGGAGGAACACCAAUGGCGAAGGCAGGUCUCUGGGCCAUAACUGACACUGAGGAGCGAAAGUGCGGGGAGCGAACAGGAUUAGAUACCCUGGUAGUCCGCACCGUAAACGGUGGGCACUAGUUGUGGGAACCUUCCACGGUUUCCGCGACGCAGCAAACGCAUUAAGUGCCCCGCCUGGGGAGUACGAUCGCAAGAUUAAAACUCAAAGGAAUUGACGGGGCCCCGCACAAGCAGCGGAGCAUGCGGCUUAAUUCGACGCAACGCGAAGAACCUUACCAAGGCUUGACAUAUACAGGAAUACGGCAGAGAUGUCGUAGCCGCAAGGUCUGUAUACAGGUGGUGCAUGGUUGUCGUCAGCUCGUGUCGUGAGAUGUUGGGUUAAGUCCCGCAACGAGCGCAACCCUCGUCCUGUGCUACCAGCAUUUAGUUGGGGACUCACAGGAGACUGCCGGGGUCAACUCGGAGGAAGGUAAU